rnacentral:lncRNA from 1 species
ACCGGGGCAACCUAAGUCCUCAAGAAAGAAGAGCAGACAAGAGAGAUGGCUGCUCCCUGUCUAGAGAAAUAGCCAUGUCCCCCCAGCUCAGCAGCAAUGGGAAGGUGGUCUGGGGUGAAUAAUUUCUAAGGGGACAGAGAGGAAGCAGAUCUGGAGAGAGAAAAACUGACCAGAGUUCUCACGGCUGGAGGCUCCCUUAAUUAAUUCACCUGCCUGGUAACUGCAUAGUAGAGUCCACUUAAAGAAAUCAGAGAAGCUGCCACUUUGAAAGAUGUGUGGAGGUCCCAUGGACCCACACCCUAAGUGACAAAGGGGCACCGGAACUCUGAGAAUCAGUUCUGAGGUUGUGAACAUUGGACACAGAUAAUUAUCCAGCUGCACUUACAAUACGUUGUGGGAUUCAACAGAAAAAACCCUAGCACCACAAACAGUGUCUCUUCUGCCCUCACAGAAAAACAUGUGGUCAAGAGGAAAUUGAAUCAAGUCCUUUAAUCAGCCACAGUAGUAUUCGAAUCAUUUAAUUUAGGAUCUGACAACCACAAAUUACUCUAUUUUUCAAGCCAAUUUUAGCCAACCAGGAGAACUGGCCCCAGUCAACUCAAGUUUAAUAAAUGCCUGAUGAUGGCAGUUUCAGAGGAAGUUUUUCUUUCUUUCUGUUUUUGAUUUCUUGGAAAUGUUCCCUUCCUGGCUCCCCGGGGCUGAGAGUGAACCCUGUGGGCAGAGAGCGCCAGCCACACCACACCGGGCAGCAGCGGGCAGCACAGGGAGCCAUCACUUCUGCCACUGAGGCUUUUCAUUCCUGGCCCUGAGUUCUUUUGGCCAGGAAAACAAGUCAAAUCAUAUUAGAGGCAGGCAGGCAUGGCCCACGGCGGCGGCGGCUCACCCGCGCUGGCCUCAGACCUUUCAGCACUUUCUGGAAACCCUGCACCGGAAGUAAAAAAAGAUGGCUUCGGAGUCAAAACAACAUCCGCCGGACACGCCAGAGAUGGCAGCUGUCACAAAGCCAGUAAGAGGCCAAAGGCAUGAUCUCACGUUCAGAACCAGCUCUACAUACAGCAGAUGAGGGUGAGCAGGGAGAACCCACAGGGCUUCAUCCUUCCCUCGCUGGAA